rnacentral:sRNA from 1 species
AUGAGGUGGUGUGGGCUUAGCCUCCGCCGCGCCGGGUAAGUGUUGU